AAAUUUUAUUUUCCUUCUUUUUUCUUCCUUCUUCUUCCUUCCUUUUUUUUUUCCCUUGUCACCUCCUUUUCCUCCCUCACCGUCUUUCUUUUUUCAUUGCCUUCCACCUCCUCUAGCCAUCGGCAGCUUCCUCAUUUUUUUCUCUUCCCUCGUCGGCGAUGCCUCCUCCUUCCUCUCCCUCGCUACCAAAGUCAAAUGUGGAGAAAGGAGUUGCCGCCGCCGAAACAGCCUCAUGCCACCAUCCUUUCGCUUGCCUAAUGCCGAAAACGAGCUCCCCGCCAUCGAAAAAUCCCGAGCUGUGCUUCUCAGUUGCUUUAUCCCCACCGACAACUAUGUGCAACCUCACUGGAGCCAAAGACUUUCUGGCCUCGAUUCGAUGGCUUCCGGCAAGGUUCCGGCAAAAAGCAGUUACAUUCUCUGAUUCCUUGCAAUCAAGCUUCGCAUAAUCCGUUCGUCCAGCCAACUCCACCCGAGGCGUAGGAGCAGACUGCAGGGCACGAUAUCCUUAUUGUCAUCUAUUAUCAUUAUUAUUAUUAUUAUUAUUUAAUUAUUUUUGGCUAUUAUCUAUAUUUCUUGUUUUAUUAUUAUUAUAUAUAAUUCUAAUGUCUGCUAUAAUUGUAACUUCGGGAUGAGACGGCAGUAGAACAUGCCACAUGAUGGGUUGCAUCAGGAUCGCGUGCGCAUCGAUAUUAAUCAGAGACAGGUAGUAAAAGAUUAUUUUUGGAAUUUUCCCUGGUCGAGUACAACUCUCUAGGCUGUAAAAAUUUGACUGUCGAAGGAAGGUCCCUGGUCAAGUGUUGCUCUCUAGGCACCGGCUUAUUUAGGAAUCAAGUGACCAGGCUGAAUUUAAGGACCUUGGUUGAGCUUCGCUCUCUUGGCGUCAGUCAUAUUUGAAUAAGAAAGCCGAAAGGUUGCUAGUAUUGGGGUUAAAGUUCUGCUGAGGUGACAGCUAAGUUCUCCUUUGUCUUACUCUUGACGACCCGACUCCCUUCUCCUUCGGGCUUAUUGUAAUUAAUUUCUACUUUUACAUUUGAAACUAUUUAAAAUUCUAGACUAUUUGUAGUAGUAUAUCUAGCAUAUUAUGCUUGAAUUUAGUAUGUAACAAGUUAUGGAAUGUUUGC